GCUUAGUAACGGCGCGUGAAGCGGUAAAGCUCAAAUUUGAAAUCUGGUACCUUUCGGUGCCCGAGUUGUAAUUUGGAGAAAGUGAUUCUGGGACUGGCCCUUGCCUAUGUUCCUUGGAACAGGACGUCAUAGAGGGUGAGAACCCCGUGAGGCGAGGUGAUCCAGUUCUUUGUAGAACGCUUUCGAAGAGUCGAGUUGUUUGGGAAUGCAGCUCUAAGUGGGUGGUAAAUUCCAUCUAAAGCUAAAUACAGGCGAGAGACCGAUAGCGAACAAGUACAGUGAUGGAAAGAUGAAAAGAACUUUGAAAAGAGAGUGAAAAAGGACGUGAAAUUGUUGAAAGGGAAGGGCAUUUGAUCAGACAUGGUGUUUUGUGCCCCUCGCUCCUCGUGGGUGGGGGAAUCUCGCAGCUCACUGGGCCAGCAUCAGUUUUGGCGGCAGGAUAAAUCUCUGGGAAUGUGGCUUCUUUCUUCGGGAGGGAGUGUUAUAGCCCAGGGGAAUACUGCCAGCUGGGAUAUGA
rnacentral:rRNA from 1 species